rnacentral:lncRNA from 1 species
CAAAACCACAUUCCUGCUGCUGUCAGUUAUGAUGCACUGAGAAAACUUCAGAGACCUAAACUUUUUCCAGAGAAGAGAAGCUUUACUGGUGUUCCAGCCCUAAGAAACCUUUGUUCAACAAAACUGCAGAUGCUCUGUUGAAUCCACUGGAGAUUGUUCUGAUACUAAGGACAAGUAUCAAACAUCUUUCCUGUGAAAAAUUCCCUCUCCUAGUACUUUAGUUCUGUGGAUCCAAAAUUUAUAGCAUUCUUCUACCACCACAGGGGCUCAUAUGACAUUAACAGACAAGACACUUUUCAGAAAGACAGGUUGUUCUUUUGGGCCACAUCUAAGAAAUCUUUGUCUAGCCAAAAGCCACAAAUAAUUUCUCAUUUUUUGGCUUCUGGAAGAUGUACAGUUAAAUGUUAUAUUUGGGACUGUUAUCUAAUUUGGUUAAAUUGCACUCUACAAUAUGGUAUUUGAAUUGAUGAAAAAUUAGUAAAUGUUAAUAUUUUUUAAAGUAGCCAAAUCUUGCAAUUUAUAUAUAAUAGAGAAGACUAGAAAAUCCCCCAUAUUUAUUUCCUCUUACUUCGUACUACUAAAAUUUGUAUUUAGGCAUUUGGUUUCUCAGAUAAACAUUACAUUCCCCAGUAUAUGGUUCUAUCUGGCUUGGUGACGACAUGUUGAACAUUAAGAUGUGAGCAGAAGUAAUACAUACACACUCUUUUUCAUGUCUUUAAUUGAAUGGGAUAUUGGCCCAUUUUUUCUUCCAGUUUAUUACACUGAAUAUUGACAUGUUAUUUUCCAAUAUUGAGACAAUCAAUGACAAGACUUUAAGAGUAACAAUGUAAAAAUACAGAAGUUGUCUGAGUUUAUCAACAAUCCCCUGGAUUAGAACCCCCUACCAGUUCUAGGUCAUCUAAUAUAUAGACAUUGUGUUCAGUAGAAAUAAAUAUAUAUAUUUUUUAUUAUGCUUUAAGUUCUAGGAUACAUGUGCACAACAUGCAGUUUUGUUACAUUGGUAUACACGUGCCAUGUUGGUUUGCUGCACCCAUUAACUCAUCAUUUACAUUAGGUAUUUCUCCUAAUGCUAUCCCUCCCCCUGCCCCCACCCCCGACAGGCCCUGGGGUGUGAUUUUCCCCACCCUGUGUCCAAGUGUUCUCAUUGCUCAAUUCCCACCUAUGGGAAUACAUUUUUAAAUCAUUUUUAAAGGUGUUAUUACAUUCUGAUUGAACAUUUUCAGAAAGAAUAAAUAAUUUAAUACAAGAAGUGGGCCACUUCAUGUAACAAAACAAACCACCACUACAGCAACAACAACAAAAAACACUAAUGAAUGUGACUUUAGCUUUGCAA